rnacentral:rRNA from 1 species
ACAUGCCUACAACAUAGCAUUAAUGCACUAGAUCCCAUUAGAACUCCACAGUUAAGUGCGCUUGGGAUAAAAUAGUAUUGGGAUGGGUGACCGCUCAGGAAGUCAUGGUGUUUUACAUGCC